AUGUUGACGAAGCUCCACCAGGUCCCAAAAAUUUGCAGCUUAAGGUUGAAGGAGAAAAAGAUGAGCCACUGGACUUAGAAGGUGAACACGAGGAGGAACAGAAAGAAGCUGAAGAUCAAUAAGCUCCCAGCGGACAGCCUGCCUCUCUUCAUUGUGGUGCUGAAACCACCAUGAAGCCUCAAAGACCAGAGACCGAUUCCAACUCAGGUCUGAUCUUCAUCAACGCUCUGACCAUCAACAUCAUCAACAAACAGCAAACGUCUGAGAGGAAGGAGAUCAUGUCAAAGUCUGUGACAACAUGAAAUAAAACCUUUGUCUCUUCAUCA